GACGAACGCUGGCGGCGUGCUUAACACAUGCAAGUCGAGCGGUAAGGCCCUUUCGGGGGUACACGAGCGGCGAACGGGUGAGUAACACGUGGGUGACCUGCCCUCAGCUCUGGGAUAAGCCUGGGAAACUGGGUCUAAUACUGGAUAUGACUCCACGGUGCAUGUCGUGGGGUGGAAAGCCUUGUGCGGCUGAGGAUGGGCCCGCGGCCUAUCAGCUUGUUGGUGGGGUGANGGCCUACCAAGGCGACGACGGGUAGCCGGCCUGAGAGGCGACCGGCCACACUGGGACUGAGACACGGCCCAGACUCCUACGGG
rnacentral:rRNA from 1 species